rnacentral:rRNA from 1 species
UUCCGGUUGAUCCUGCCGGAGGCCACUGCUAUGGGGGUCCGACUAAGCCAUGCGAGUCAUGGGGUCCCUUCGGGGACACCGGCGGACGGCUCAGUAACACGUCGGUAACCUACCCUCGGGAGGGGGAUAACCCCGGGAAACUGGGGCUAAUCCCCCAUAGGCCUGGGGUACUGGAAGGUCCCCAGGCCGAAAGGGGCUCUGCCCGCCCGAGGAUGGGCCGGCGGCCGAUUAGGUAGUUGGUGGGGUAACGGCCCACCAAGCCGAAGAUCGGUACGGGCCAUGAGAGUGGGAGCCCGGAGAUGGACACUGAGACACGGGUCCAGGCCCUACGGGGCGCAGCAGGCGCGAAACCUCCGCAAUGCGGGCAACCGCGACGGGGGGACCCCCAGUGCCGUGGCAAAGCCACGGCUUUUCCGGAGUGUAAAAAGCUCCGGGAAUAAGGGCUGGGCAAGGCCGGUGGCAGCCGCCGCGGUAAUACCGGCGGCCCAAGUGGUGGCCGCUAUUAUUGGGCCUAAAGCGUCCGUAGCCGGGCCCGUAAGUCCCUGGCGAAAUCCCACGGCUCAACCGUGGGGCUUGCUGGGGAUACUGCGGGCCUUGGGACCGGGAGAGGCGGGGGGUACCCCUGGGGUAGGGGUGAAAUCCUAUAAUCCCAGGGGGACCGCCAGUGGCGAAGGCGCCCCGCUGGAACGGGUCCGACGGUGAGGGACGAAGGCCAGGGGAGCGAACCGGAUUAGAUACCCGGGUAGUCCUGGCUGUAAAGGAUGCGGGCUAGGUGUCGGGCGAGCUUCGAGCUCGCCCGGUGCCGGAGGGAAGCCGUUAAGCCCGCCGCCUGGGGAGUACGGCCGCAAGGCUGAAACUUAAAGGAAUUGGCGGGGGAGCACUACAAGGGGUGGAGCGUGCGGUUUAAUUGGAAUCAACGCCGGA